AAUUAAAAAAUUUCAAGUUGUUCCAAGUGGUCAAAAUACAUCGAAAGAACCCGCUUUUUGAAAAUUUCAGUGACAAGAUGCAAGUCGCGGGGAAAAUUUGUGAUCAAUUGAAGUAAAAAGCGAAGACUUCCUGUUUAAGAUGAAGAGAGUGCCCCGCUCGAGCUCAUAAGACCUCGACGAGUCGAUUAGAAUCUCCUCGCAAAGAUGAGGCUUGAUAUUCGCCGUAAACGUUCAGUGAUACUAUCGAAAUAUACAGUAUUAUGCAGACAAAGAACCGACAAAGAAACAGUUUCUAUGAAUGGUAUAUAUGAGAAAUUUGCCUGAAAAUGGACUGAAAGUUUUAAAGUAUUUUUUAAAUUAAAAUACUAUGUAAUUCUUCUGAUUUUUAUAAAUUGUAAUCCUUGUGAUUUUUUAAAUGUGAAUUAAAAAUGUCAACGACAAAAAAGAAAGAAACCGACACACGUUUUGCUGUUAAAUUUUAAGAUAUUUUGUUUAUCGCAUGGUCACGUGGUCAAGGAUUUGACAGUGUCUUGCAUUGAAGUGGCUUUUUGACGUCUACAAUUGGUAUUAUUUAUUAUUCUGAUAAAAAGACGACAAGUAUUAAUCUUUCUUACACUAUGAAGACUAAUACCUGUCUACAGAAAGAAGACUACUCAAACUCACGUCAAACAUAUUUGACAGCUUUCACUGAGUAAGAAGGAAGCCAUUUAAGUGCCGAGAACAUUUUGAUGACAGUUGAACAA